CACAUAUAUAUAUAUAUAUAUACGUAUUUUUUUGCUAUUUAUGUGUUUUACGUCUCGUAUUGUUUAAGUUCUCUUUUUUUCUUUUCUAGGCGUUGUUGACGAAUCAUGAAAGGUGUUGGACAAAAACGGGAGUUGCAGGAUUUACCUUCAGAAAAUAGCAGUUUUAAUGUGAAUUUUUGUUGUGUGUGGGAGUUUCUUUUUGGGUCGAAAGAUACCUGAUGGGGGCAUAUUACUCAUUUGAUUUAUUAUGUAUAAUGUUGAAAGUAUAAUAAUUAUGAUCUGAAUAAAGGAAAUAAAUCCUACUAUAUGCACACAAGCAUACGCCACACUAUUCACUAUUCUAUUCUAUGUGCAUACACCACACCUCUUCGUUCUUAAUACUAAUAUAUUUCAUGCAUUCAGCCACAAACAUUUUACGCAAAAAAAAAUAAUUACAUUUGAAUUCAUUUUUUAAACAGAUUGCAAAAUCUUUGAACAGAGCUUUUGGCAGCCCAAUAAGCAUAAAUAAGUACCACCAAGGAAAAGCCCAAAACGUUGUAGAGACUGGAGAACCACCCAAAGCAUUGUAGAGAGAGAGAGAGAGAGUUACUUUCUUUUUCUAAUCAAAAUUAUAUCAUUUCGAUGGCACAUGAGAUUUACAUUUUCCACAUCUUUUUAUCCAUAUUUCAAUGUCAAAAUCAACAUUAGCCACAUAAUUUUCCAAACACUAGAAAUGAAGUCCAAGAAAAUCUUAGUUAGUCUUAUGAUAACUCGUAUAUCAAAUUCUAAUUAUGUACAGUUCGGGCAUUUAUAUUAAAGCGUCAACAAUUUGGGUAUCAAACUAUAUUUAUCCUACUCAUAGUGUAUGUAAUCUAUCUUUUUAUCCCUUCGAUUUUCAUGCAUUUUCCCCACCACUUUGGAGUCGCUUAUUCCUCUUUACAGCUCAAGGGGGGAAGAACCACCAAAAUACAUGAAAGAAGAGAAGAGAAAAGAAAAGGAAAAGCAUGUAAAAGCAAAACUUACUAGCAACGAAACAGGUGCUCCUCUGGUCAGCCGGCGACACCGCAACCACGAAAAAUAUUUAAGGCUGGGAAGCUCCUCUGGUCAGACCUCCACCACUUGCUUGAACUACUAAGUUGGCCAGUUUUGGGAUCAUAUCUUUGAAUGACGGCCGAUCUUCAGGAUUGCUG